rnacentral:rRNA from 1 species
ACGGGUGAGUAACACGUGAGCAACCUGCCCUUGACUCUGGGAUAACCACGGGAAACGGUGGCUAAUACCGGAUAUGAGACGCACAGGCAUCUGUCGCGUCUGGAAAGAUUUAUCGGUCAAGGAUGGGCUCGCGGCCUAUCAGCUUGUUGGUGGGGUAAUGGCCUACCAAGGCGACGACGGGUAGCCGGCCUGAGAGGGCGACCGGCCACACUGGGACUGAGACACGGCCCAGACUCCUACGGGAGGCAGCAGUGGGGAAUAUUGCACAAUGGGCGCAAGCCUGAUGCAGCGACGCCGCGUGAGGGAUGACGGCCUUCGGGUUGUAAACCUCUUUCAGCAGGGAAGAAGCGCAAGUGACGGUACCUGCAGAAGAAGCGCCGGCUAACUACGUGCCAGCAGCCGCGGUAAUACGUAGGGCGCAAGCGUUGUCCGGAAUUAUUGGGCGUAAAGAGCUCGUAGGCGGUUUGUCGCGUCUGCUGUGAAAACCUGAGGCUCAACCUCGGGCUUGCAGUGGGUACGGGCAGACUAGAGUGCGGUAGGGGUGACUGGAAUUCCUGGUGUAGCGGUGGAAUGCGCAGAUAUCAGGAGGAACACCGAUGGCGAAGGCAGGUCACUGGGCCGCAACUGACGCUGAGGAGCGAAAGCAUGGGGAGCGAACAGGAUUAGAUACCCUGGUAGUCCAUGCCGUAAACGUUGGGCACUAGGUGUGGGGCUCAUUCCACGAGUUCCGUGCCGCAGCAAACGCAUUAAGUGCCCCGCCUGGGGAGUACGGCCGCAAGGCUAAAACUCAAAGAAAUUGACGGGGGCCCGCACAAGCGGCGGAGCAUGCGGAUUAAUUCGAUGCAACGCGAAGAACCUUACCAAGGCUUGACAUACACCGGAAAAGUGCAGAGAUGUGCUCCCCGUAAGGUCGGUGUACAGGUGGUGCAUGGUUGUCGUCAGCUCGUGUCGUGAGAUGUUGGGUUAAGUCCCGCAACGAGCGCAACCCUCGUCCCAUGUUGCCAGCGGGUUAUGCCGGGGACUCAUGGGAGACUGCCGGGGUCAACUCGGAGGAAGGUGGGGAUGACGUCAAAUCAUCAUGCCCCUUAUGUCUUGGGCUUCACGCAUGCUACAAUGGCCGGUACAAAGGGCUGCGAUACCGCGAGGUGGAGCGAAUCCCAAAAAGCCGGUCUCAGUUCGGAUUGGGGUCUGCAACUCGACCCCAUGAAGUCGGAGUCGCUAGUAAUCGCAGAUCAGCAACGCUGCGGUGAAUACGUUCCCGGGCCUUGUACACACCGCCCGUCAAGUCACGAAA